ensembl:lncRNA
GACAAAUUUCGCGAGACCUUUAUUAAGGGCCUUCAGCAAAGUGAUGAUACCGCGAGAGCUGACAUGUGACGUAAUUAAAACGCGCGAACGGAAGUGGCGCAGAGCACGAUGGAAUCUCAGUACGGUUGGUCCUUUAGGAACCAGCGGGAAAGAUAAAAGCUACAGUUUCAGCCUUGCUGGGUGAAGUAUGUUUUGACCCCGCUCCCUUUUCUGUCAGAGACCUGCAGAUGGACGGGGUAGUAUUGGAUUGAGUUUUUGUGAUGAAGCUUACUAUGCAGUUUCACUCCUAAGCUAAACUGCACUAUUUCUUCAAAAGCCUAGGAAAAUGUAUUUUGUGUUUGGAGGGAAGCGAUUGCUACUGUUACUUUGAGCCAGUCCCUGAUGCUAUCAGAGAUUCUAAAGAAAAUAAUACACAGCGAGCCAGCGUAUGUAACCUGAAUAAUACAAUAUAGGCUCACGAACAGAAGUUAAUUUUAGGGGAUGUCAGUUCCACUGGGACAGGGAUUGAUCGUAAGCAUUGUGUUCACCACUGUUGUCUCAGGAUUUAGAACUGCACCCGAAAUGUAGACACUUAAUAAUCUUCUAAAACUUAAGUUUGGGAAAUCAGUAGUGCUCAGAUAUUUGAAGAAAUAUUAAAAGUAUUAGAAGACAUUCAAGAAGUGGUUUUUGACAACUAUUCCUUAAUGGAAUCUCUACCUGAAGUACAGAAAUUUUUGCAUGGAUUAUUAAACCCAUGUUAGAAGUGUUAGCUUGAAUUGUUAAAGAAGUAAUCUGCUACUACUCCUAAGAGAAUGAAGUUGGCCUAGUUGAAUUUGAUGAGGUUCACUAUUAUGUGACCAAGAAGGACAUAAUAAAUCAUGGCAUUUGAAGAACAUCCUGAGUUCAAAGGCUGUCUUCAUUCUGACUUGUGGAAAACAGAUUUUAACUACUAGUGAAUAAUCAAUUUUCUGUUACAAUUUUAUUAACAAUUGUCUGGUCACUGUAGCAAUUUGCUCUGUAAUAGAAUAAAUAUGUAACAAGGAGCUGCUGCCUGAAAACACAUUCUUUUAAUUUCAUCAUACACAAUUCUUCUCUUCCACUAAUGCUGAUCAGAGCUGCAUGCCAUGAGGACUUAGUAAUAAAACCACACUGGCCCCGCUGUUUCAGUGUUAUCUGUGAAGAGGGGCAGUGGCCCAGGUGGAUGCUCUGGUUAUCGGCUUACAUCCCCAUGCCUUUCACUUGGGCCCUAAGUCCAUUCACUUUCUACAACAUUUUCAUGAGAUUCAUCCUGGAGCUGUCGCGAUCUCAGAGCUAUCGUAUUAGCAUCACUGGUGGACAUGAACACAUAUUGACAAUAGCUUUAACUUCUCUUCUUCCUUAAAGAAACUUCUAAACCAAGGCACCACGGUGCAUCUAUGUGGAUAGAGACCAAAAUGCAAGUUUCCUUUGGUGUCGAUAGGAUAAAUGUGUACUUUGUCUCACUUUUCAAUUAGGGUGAUUGUGCGAUGACUCUAUACUUAGUACAUUUAUAUAUUAUUAUCCUGGGACUACAUCUUCCUCAUCAUAUUAGAACUUUCUGCUCUGAAGGCUGAGGAGUGUGCAAUGGCCUGCGGGCUCAGUGUUGGAUAUUUUAAGUAUGGCAGAGCCAGAGGUGUGCUGAGUGACUGAAGAUCUCUACGUUAGGCCCUGUGUGGAAGCUCUUUGUGUAAGUCUACACUCUCUGCCUCAGAUUCCUCUUUCUCUUGUGUGUGUGGGGAGAACCUAAAAAUAGUGCUUGAAAGCGUUGCCAAGAUCUUAGCUUUGUGUUGGAGAAACCGUCCACUAAUCUUAUUGCCUGAAACCAGAGUCAAAGAAGGUGCUCUGAAAUGAAGGUUCAGAAGAAGAACAAACGUUUCCACAUUGAUUUCCAACAAGGCAUCCAGCCUUCUACCUGGUUACUGAGGAGGUGAGGCAGAUG